rnacentral:rRNA from 1 species
CUCGGAGUUUGAUCCUGGCUCAGAUUGAACGCUGGCGGAAUGCUUUACACAUGCAAGUCGAACGGUAGAGGGGGCAACCCCUCGAGAGUGGCGAACGGGUGAGUAAUAUAUCGGAACGUGCCCAGUCGUGGGGGAUAACGUAGCGAAAGUUACGCUAAUACCGCAUACGAUCUAAGGAUGAAAGCGGGGAUCGCAAGACCUCGCGCGAUUGGAGCGGCCGAUAUCAGAUUAGGUAGUUGGUGGGGUUAAAGGCUCACCAAGCCAACGAUCUGUAGCUGGUCUGAGAGGACGACCAGCCACACUGGGACUGAGACACGGCCCAGACUCCGUACGGGAGGCAGCAGUGGGGAAUUUUGGACAAUGGGCGCAAGCCUGAUCCAGCAAUGCCCGCGUGCAGGAAGAAGGUCCUUCGGUUGUAAACCUGUCGUUUUGUACGGAGUCGUAAAACGGUUUACUCGUUAAUACGAGUAGCUCAU